UAACUCUUUCAAAUUUGAAGCCUUUGUUGAUGAAUUUUAACGGCCAACAUUUUUUGCCUCAUUUUAGAGUGCCCAGACCCUUGCAAAUGUGACGUCUUCCACCAAACUAUCGUUAGUGUGAAUUGUAGUGGACAACGCCUUCAUUUAAUUCCAUGGAAAUUUCUGCCUGCCAUGUCAAAAUUGUACUUGAGCAACAACAAGCUGAGAGACUUGCCCCAAGGAAUCUUCAGUAAUUAUACCCAGCUGGAAUUGCUGGAAAUCAACAACAACCCGUUGAAGGAAUUACCAUCAGGCAUAUUCAGUAACAAUACCAAGCUGUCCUUCUUGUAAGUUAGGACUCAUCCUUCUUUUUGUAAAAGAUGCCUAAAAUCUAU